rnacentral:rRNA from 1 species
GAUGAACGCUGGCGGCGUGCCUAAUACAUGCAAGUCGAGCGAACAGUUGAGGAGCUUGCUCCUCUGACGUUAGCGGCGGACGGGUGAGUAACACGUGGAUAACCUACCUAUAAGACUGGGAUAACUUCGGGAAACCGGAGCUAAUACCGGAUAAUAUAUUGAACCGCAUGGUUCAAUAGUGAAAGACGGUUUUGCUGUCACUUAUAGAUGGAUCCGCGCCGCAUUAGCUAGUUGGUAAGGUAACGGCUUACCAAGGCAACGAUGCGUAGCCGACCUGAGAGGGUGAUCGGCCACACUGGAACGGAGACACGGUCCAGACUCCUACGGGAGGCAGCAGUAGGGAAUCUUCCGCAAUGGGCGAAAGCCUGACGGAGCAACGCCGCGUGAGUGAUGAAGGUCUUCGGAUCGUAAAACUCUGUUAUUAGGGAAGAACAAAUGUGUAAGUAACUAUGCACGUCUUGACGGUACCUAAUCAGAAAGCCACGGCUAACUACGUG